rnacentral:rRNA from 1 species
GGGGUCGUCUGACGGGUCGCUCCCAACCCAAUGUGAACGUUACCAAACUGUUGCCUCGGCGGGGUCACGCCCCGGGUGCGUCGCAGCCCCGGAACCAGGCGCCCGCCGGAGGAACCAACCAAACUCUUUCUGUAGUCCCCUCGCGGACGUAUUUCUUACAGCUCUGAGCAAAAAUUCAAAAUGAAUCAAAACUUUCAACAACGGAUCUCUUGGUUCUGGCAUCGAUGAAGAACGCAGCGAAAUGCGAUAAGUAAUGUGAAUUGCAGAAUUCAGUGAAUCAUCGAAUCUUUGAACGCACAUUGCGCCCGCCAGUAUUCUGGCGGGCAUGCCUGUCCGAGCGUCAUUUCAACCCUCGAACCCCUCCGGGGGAUCGGCGUUGGGGAUCGGGACCCCUCACACGGGUGCCGGCCCCGAAAUACAGUGGCGGUCUCGCCGCAGCCUCUCCUGCGCAGUAGUUUGCACAACUCGCACCGGGAGCGCGGCGCGUCCACGUCCGUAAAACACCCAACUUUCUGAAAUGUUGACCUCGGAUCAGGUAGGAAUACCCGCUGAACUUAAGCAUAUCUAAAGGGGGAAGGGAAA